GUAAGUACAAAUAACUUUAUUUGUUAGAGGCAAGAAAGGAGUUUUGUCGUUUUUCCUUGAAUGCCUUUGAUUCAGUUUGGGAUUCCAUACCACUUUGAUUAGUAUCUUGUAUGAUCGUGGGAGGAGAACAUAUCCUCAUUUCUGCCUUGGUAAAAUUCCUCGUUGGGCUAGGUAAUAUGUAAGUCAAGGUUAGCUACAUUUUGCUGGUUUUGUAUGUGUGUGAAUUCUCUCAAGAUCCAACAGUAGCAUAGUAGGGUUAGGGUUUCUUCUGUGGUCCUACACCUGUAUUGGCAAUAAUGGCAACAGCCCAUUCUUCCACAGUUUCUAUCCACUUUCUAAGUCUUUUCUCCUUUUCGCCAUGACACGUGCCAUUAUGAUGCAGAGCAUACAAGAGCCAUUGUGAGAUGUGCCAGAUACCAGUUAAUAGUAACAGAUCAUCAAAGUUUACAUAGAGUUUACAUCAGAAAGUCACAGUGGACUCAAGACUUUCUGUAAAAUAAUCUGACCUUGCUCAUCUAUAUUCUGCUGUGCUUUCUCAAGGGGUAGAGAAAUGGCGGAGCAGGGUGGGAUUAUGGAUAAUCCAGUGAAUACCUUUGGGGGAAGGUCUUGUAUGUGAAUGUCACUGAUUUAAUGUGUGGUAGUGGAAAAACAGAAGUUUCAGAACCACGGGAGUUGCGGUGCUUGUGAUGUAGAGGCUUCACAAAGGAACGUAAAAGACAAGUGCUAGGAAAAAGACAUGAUUCUACGGAAGGAAAAAAGAUGAAAACUAACAUGACCCAGAUGAAAACAGAUGAAGAAUUCCUGGCUUCCUCUUCUGCCUGCUUAGGAGUCUAUGAGUGGGCCCAAACAGAAAUGUUUGCAGAGGAAAACUCGGGACUGUUUGUGAUUGAUGAGAAGUAGGCAACUACUGAAUACUCCUUCAGGAGUUUCUGAAGACCUCCAUGCCCCUUGUGCCCUGCCACUCCUCCUAUUUCCUCCAUGAGAUCGCACAGAGUUCACCUAAAGCCAGGUUUUCAGGUCCAUCCAUGGGGUGGCCCCCCGCUGCUUUUAGAAACUGCUUUGGAAACAGGAAAAGGAACAAGUUGACCACUGGCAAGUCGGCAUCAGGCCCUAGGUCCCAGUUUAGAAAGAGGUCCCUGGAUGAUCGUUUCCCUUCCAAGGAUAUUGGUGAUGGCUUUGUUAGCGUUUCCUAGAUACUCAGGAAAAAAAUCUGCUGACCAUUCUCAUUGCCUGCUGCCUUCUCCUUUUCAGGGGCCAUUAAAAUCCAA
rnacentral:lncRNA from 1 species